rnacentral:rRNA from 1 species
GACGAACGCUGGCGGCGCGCUUAACACAUGCAAGUCGAGCGAGAACCAGUCCUUCGGGACUGGGGACAGCGGCGAACGGGUGAGUAACACGUGGGUAAUCUGCCCUCGGCACCGGAAUAGCCCGGGGAAACCCGGAUUAAUGCCGGAUGGCCCGCCGGCCCCGAGGGGCUGGCGGAAAAGGUAGCUUCGGCCCCCGGCCGAGGACGAGCCCGCGACGGAUUAGCUUGUUGGUGGGGUAACGGCCUACCAAGGCUGCGAUCCGUAGCGUGGUCUGAGAGGACGAUCAGCCACACUGGGACUGAGACACGGCCCAGACUCCUACGGGAGGCAGCAGUGGGGAAUCUUGCGCAAUGGGCGAAAGCCUGACGCAGCGACGCCGCGUGGGGGAAGAAGGCCUUCGGGUUGUAAACCUCUUUCAGGAGGGACGAAGCCAUUCGGGUUAAUAGCCCAGAGGGUGACGGUACCUCCAGAAGAAGCCCCGGCUAACUACGUGCCAGCAGCCGCAGUAAAAC